GACAGAGGUGCCAAGCGUUAGGCGGAAUCACUGGGCUUAAAGCGUGUGUAGGUGGAUUUGUAAGUACCUUGUGAAAUCCCAUGGCUCAACCAUGGAACUGCUCGGUAUACUGCGAAUCUUGAGCCACUUAGGGGCUACCGGAACAAAUGGUGGAGCGGUGAAAUGCGUAGAUAUCAUUUGGAACGCCAAUGGUGAAAACAGGUAGCUGGGAGUGUGCUGACACUGAGACACGAAAGCCAGGGGAGCGAACGGG
rnacentral:rRNA from 1 species